rnacentral:lncRNA from 1 species
UCAGUUAAGUUUUCCUGUGGGCUACUUACUUAUCCUUAUGCCCCUUACCCCCAUGAGCUGUUACAGGAGGACAACAAUACUACACAAGGAAAGAGCAAAAUGCAUGGCAUGCCAAGCAGAGGAAACAGUAAAAUGAUGCAUUUUCUAGACCUUGAUAGCACAAUGGUGCUGAGAGUCACAUGAGGACAGCAGAUAAGACAAGGAUAGAGCUCACUACUAGUUCUCAUUAGUAGUGAGCUCCAUCCACACCGGAAGGAAGU